rnacentral:tRNA from 2 species
GCUCCCGUAGCGGCAACUGGAUAGAGCCCCGGCCGCAAGGUCGCAGGUUGAUGGUUCAAAUCCAUCCGGGAGCC